rnacentral:lncRNA from 1 species
GAGGGACUGGCUCUCAGUCCCCGCCUCAUGGGGGGUCCCUCCCCCCUCUGCGAUGGGGGUCCUAAGAGCCAGUGGGGGAAUAGGGGCUGGCUCUCAGUCCCUGCCUCGCGGGGGGGUGCCUCCCCAACCCUGCGAUGGGGGUACUAACAGCCAGGGGCGGAAAAGGGGAUAGCUCUCAGUCCCCACUCUCGUGGGGGGUGCCUCCCCCCCUGCGAUGGGGGUACUAACAGCCAGGGGCGGAAGAGGGGAUAGCUCUCAGUCCCCACUCUCGUGGGGGGUGCCUCCCCCUCCUGUGAUGGGGUUCCUCAGAGCCAGGGGGGGAAGAGGGACUGGCUCUCAGUAAUUCCACGUAAGGUACCUGCCGUCGGAAGAUUUGAAAUUUCUACCUGGACAACUAACACCCACAGUCCUCCAGCUGCGUUCGGACCCGUCGGAUCGUAAAUCCCACAUAAGGUACCUGCCGUCAGAAGAUUUGAACUCUCUACUUGGACACCUAAUACCCACAGUCCUCCAGCUGCGUUCGGACCCGUCGGAUCGUAAAUCCCAUGUAAGGUACCUGCCGUCGGAAGAUUUGAUCUUUCUACUUGGACACCUAAUACCCACAGUCCUCCAGCUGCGUUCGGACCCCUGUCGUAUUGUAAAUCCCACGCAAGGUACCUGCCGUCGGAAGAUUUGAGCUUUCUUCUUGAACACCUCAUACCCACAGUCCUCCAGACAGAAGGACAACAGGUACAAAGUCCUAAGGAUUAUAAAGGUAUGCUGCUUGCCAUCAUCUUAGUGACCAAGGCAGCGAAGCUGUUUCUGUACCUUGGAACAGUCUUCCCUGACAAGCCAGAGAACAGCGAUAAAGCCACCAGCCUUGGGAUCAGGACUGAAAAGGCAAGAGUGAUGGAGAUUUCUCCUGCGCUAAGCCAAGAGAAGGUUUCAGCACCUCAGACAGCUCCCACCGAAGUAGCGGCGCUCCCAGCUGCUUGCAGAUGUGGAAAAGGAAAGCCUCGGUUUGUCUUGAGGUUGUCAGCAGUUGCAAGACACGUAAUAAAAUGCAAUGUGUUCCUAAU